rnacentral:rRNA from 1 species
CUCUGUGACUUCUACGGGAGGCAGCAGUGGGGAAUAUUGCACAAUGGGCGCAAGCCUGAUGCAGCAACGCCGUGUGAGUGAAGAAGGUUUUCGGAUCGUAAAACUCUGUCCUAAGGGAAGAAACAAAUGACGGUACCUUAGGAGGAAGCCCCGGCUAACUACGUGCCAGCAGCCGCGGUAAUACGUAGGGGGCAAGCGUUAUCCGGAAUCACUGGGCGUAAAGGGUGCGUAGGCGGCUUAGCAAGCCAGGGGUGAAAGGCAUUGGCUCAACCAAUGUAAGCCUUUGGAACUGUUAAGCUUGAGUGCAGGAGAGGUAAGUGGAAUUCCUAGUGUAGAGGUGAAAUUCGUAGAUAUUAGGAGGAACACCAGUGGCGAAGGCGACUUACUGGACUGUAACUGACGCUGAUGCACGAAAGCGUGGGUAGCGAACAGGAUUAGAUACCCUGGGAG